GUGCUCACUUAGCAGCACAUAUACUACAAUUGGAACGAUAUAGAGAAGAUUAGCAUGGCCCCUGCACAAGGAUGACAUGCAAGUUUGUGAAGCUUUCCAUAAAAAA